GCCUGGGUGGCUCAGUUGGUUAAGCGUCUGACUUUGGCUCAGGUCAUGAUCAGGUUCGUGGGUUUGAGCCCCGUGCCCGGCU
rnacentral:tRNA from 1 species